UACGUAGGGUGCGAGCGUUGUCCGGAAUUAUUGGGCGUAAAGCGCUCGCAGGUGGUCCGUCGCGUCGUGCGUGAAAGACCCCGGCUCAACUGGGGAGGGUCGUGCGAUACGGGCGGACUGGAGGCCAGUAGGGGGAUGCGGAAUUCCGGGUGUAGUGGUGGAAUGCGUAGAGAUCCGGAGGAACACCAGCGGCGAAGGCGGCAUCCUGGACUGGUCCUGACACUCAGGAGCGAAAGCGUGGGUAGCAAACAGG
rnacentral:rRNA from 1 species